GGAAAAACUAGUGAACUCUGCUUUCCAUUGAGGAGAACUGACUUUGGCAUCCAUAUGCAGGUCCUGAUCCAACUAAAUGUGUAUUUCCUGAAUCAGGGGCACAUGCUCAAAUGUUUGUGGUCUCAUUGGAUUUCCUCCUUCCUAUAAGUCAAGAUGAGAAGUUGAGUGUCUCUGAAAACUUACGUAACACAGAGGUCCACAGACUUGAAAUUUGGAAACGUAACCAGCUGAACAGUAUAUUCCUAUGAAGAGUUACAUGUAGUUUCUUUACUGAAUCCAUGAGAGAACAAAAUCUUGGAUGGAUAUGGAAAAUGAGAGCAUCUUUUCCUCAGGGAACCGUGCUCCUAGGCACUCUUGGAAAGCUUUCAGUCCAGAAAUAGAAACAUGUCUGAAAUUUUCCCCAGUCUGAGAUUUCUUAUAUGUUUUUUGUGGCAAAUCAGAAAGGAUACCCAAACUAAUUUCUGUGGAGGAUGUCAUUGGAGAAGGGAAGGCAGAGUCACUCUGAAGAUCCCAGACACAUGAACAUCAGGAUAUAAAAGAGCUAAAGCCAUUAAUCCUUUGUGUGACUGCUAUGGAUACUGAAAACUGCACAAAAGACAGAGAACAAUGGUAAUCAU